UCCAGCAGCAAUGGAUUUUUUUGGAGAGAGAGGGAGCAUCUCUCCUUCAUUUUUUCAAAAUUUCCUUAGGAAAUUCACUAAAAUGGAGAGAUUAAGUGAAAUGAUGGAAGAAAAGAGUGAAAGGAAGGAUCUAUUGGCAAGGGUUUAUAAGAAAUAAGAGAGAGAAAGUGGCAGCUAGAGAGAGAAACAAGAAUUUGAAGAGGGAGAAGAAGAAGAAGGUUGGAAACCUUGGAAUUAUUGUUCAAGCAUGAUGGCUGUGGUUCUGCCUUUUCCCUUGGUUUUGUUGUUCCUCUUUCAUGUAUCCUGGCUUCGAUGCGAGCUUGGGCGUCUUUUUGUUGUUCUUCACAGCUGGCAGUUGAGGUCCUUUUUGCUGGUCAUGACUAUGCCUCUUUCACCACUGUUUUCUUGCCAGCUCUAAGAACAAACAUAUUAGUGAAUUUCUGACCAGCAUUCUUACAGAAAAGGAUCAACGUAGGCAAGGUUGGGUGGUUAGUGUUCCUGCAAAAGAAAAAGGUCGUGAGAAGCUACGUGGGAAGUGCAAGGAAUGGAUUUAGAAAGUUCUUACUGUUUG